rnacentral:rRNA from 1 species
UACGGAGGGUGCAAGCGUUGUCCGGAUUUAUUGGGCGUAAAGAGCUCGUAGGCGGCUCAUUGCGUCAACCGUGAAAACCAGCAGCUCAACUGUUGGCUUGCGGUUGAUACGGGUGGGCUGGAGUUCGGUAGGGGAGACUGGAAUUCCUGGUGUAGCGGUGAAAUGCGCAGAUAUCAGGAGGAACACCGGUGGCGAAGGCGGGUCUCUGGGCCGAUACUGACGCUGAGGAGCGAAAGCGUGGGGAGCGAACAGG